GAGAAACCUCCGACCCCACCGCCUUCUUCUCCAGUCUUCCCCCUCACCUCACACCCGGAAAUUCGGAUCAGCACCGAGCAGCAGCACGCUGGCAGUGAGUGGGAGCCUUCCAGUGGAAGGAGUCUUCCAAUGGCGGCCACCUCCUCCUCUUUCUUCGCCCCGCCCCCCGCGGCUCUGCUUCGCCACGGCGCUUCUCCCCGUCCUACCGCCGCGGCCUCCCCCUCCUCCUCCUUCCGCUGCCACGGCCGACUCCAGCGCCCGUCUGUUCGAGUCCCCCGCCGCCGCCCAGCGAUCCCAGCGGCCGCCCGACCCGUGAGGUUUUGCGUCAAUGGUGUCUAUGGGUGGCCGGCGGUACUCAGGGGUUGGACUAAAAGGGGGUCGAGAAAGUGUUUAUGCGCCGCUGGGGCACAUGACGACGCUGUGAAUCAAGUUGGCGAGGAUGCCGACCACGACGACGACGAUGUCCGUGUUUCCAAUGAGGCCCUCCGCGCCACCAUCCGGAAGAGCAGAGAGGUGCUGGCGAUGCACAGAGAUCUACUUGAUCAGAUAUCAGAAAAGAAGAAGCUCAUCUCUGUUAUUGAGGCCAGCUCCAUUCAUAAUGGGCAAGAGCCAUUCAGUGGUAGUCCCUUUUCACGCUCGGAUGCAGUUUCAGAGGGCGAAGAGAUUGGCUAUGAUCUUCAGAUGUACCUUGACAGGCGUUCACAGAAAUCCGAAAUCCGUUCAACUCAUGGAGAAUCUAUUAGUGGCCAGCAUGAAUACUAUGGAAGUUUAGAAGACAAACUUUCCUACACUGAUGUUAAUGGAUCAUAUAGCAAGGAUUAUGAAAAGGGACACUCAGUUACUGAGGAAAUAGAUGACAAUUCAUCUUCUUCGGCCGCUGUAGAUGUUAUGAAUAUCAUAUUGGUAGCUGCAGAAUGUGCUCCUUGGUCGAAAACAGGUGGACUUGGGGAUGUUGCCGGAGCUUUGCCUAAGGCUUUGUCAAAGAGAGGUCAUCGUGUCAUGGCGAUAGUACCAAUGUAUGGGAACUAUGAAGAACCUCGCCAAAUAGGAGAGCCAAAGAGGUACCAGGUCGCAGGGCAGGAUAUGGAGGUAAAAUAUUAUCAUGCAUACAUAGAUGGCGUGGAUUUUGUGUUUAUCGACAAUCCUAUCUUCCACAAUGUUGAGAGUGAAAUUUAUGGUGGAGACCGAACAGAUAUCUUGAAACGAAUGAUCUUAUUGUGCAAAGCAGCUGUAGAGGCUCCAUGGUGUGUUCCAUGUGGUGGUUUUUGCUACGGCGAUGGAAAUCUUGUAUUCAUAGCAAAUGACUGGCACACUGCAUUACUGCCUGUUUAUUUGAAGGCUUAUUAUCGUGACAAUGGUUUCAUGAUAUAUGCCCGCUCUGUCCUUGUGAUACACAAUAUAGCACAUCAGGGCCGUGGCCCCUUGGACGAUUUCAGUUACCUGGAUUUGCCCAGUAACUACUUGGACCUUUUCAAACAUCACGACCCAUUUGGAGGUGAUCAUCUAAACAUAUUUGCUGCUGGAAUUAAAGCUGCGGACCGUUUACUUACUGUUAGCCAUGGUUAUGCAUGGGAGCUCAAAACGCCUGAAGGUGGUUGGGGCCUUCAUGGGAUCAUUAAUGAAAGUGAUUGGAAAUUCCAAGGCAUUGUAAAUGGUAUCGAUACCACUGAUUGGAAUCCUAGGUGUGAUGUCCACCUGAAAUCAGAUGGAUACAGCAACUAUUCUCUGGUAACUGUUGAAACAGGUAAAGCACAGUGUAAAGCGGCAUUGCAGAAAGAGCUUGGUCUCCCGGUUCGUGGGGAUGUUCCUGUGAUUGCUUUCAUCGGACGGCUAGACAAUCAAAAAGGCGUAGACCUGAUAGCAGAAGCAAUGCCAUGGAUAGCUGGUCAAGAUGUACAGGUAAUACUGCUGGGUACCGGGAGGCAAGACCUUGAAGACACACUGAGGAGGCUUGAAAGCCAGCACUACGACCGUGUUAGGGGUUGGGUUGGUUUCUCUGUCAGGUUGGCUCAUCGUAUGACCGCAGGAACUGAUAUACUGUUGAUGCCGUCAAGGUUCGAGCCUUGCGGGUUGAACCAGCUCUAUGCAAUGAUGUAUGGGACCGUGCCGGUGGUGCAUGCGGUGGGUGGCCUUCGAGACACCGUCCAGCACUACAAUCCAUAUGAGGAGGCUGGGCUUGGUUGGACUUUUGAAAAUGCGGAAGCAAACAGGAUGAUCGAUGCGCUGGGGCACUGCCUGAACACGUACAGGAACUACAAGUCUAGCUGGGAGGGACUCCGGAGGAGAGGGAUGAUGCAGGACCUAAGCUGGGACACUGCUGCUAAACGCUAUGAGGAGGUUCUUGUUGCUGCCAAGUAUCAGUGGUGACUGGGGAGUGGAUCCACGAGCCUACUGAUGGUUGUCAUUCACAGACUGGAAGACACUCUUGUUGUGUGUUUGCCCAGUGUCCCAAGUUGAGCAUGUUGGUUGAAACUGGAAGACGAAAUCUUUCCUGUCAGAGCAACUGUUCUUUUUAGGGGCAACAAUGCAACUGUUAGCCUACUUCCUAGGCGAAAGCUGCUGAAGAGGUGCUUCUUUGGAGGAGGUUUAAGCGGCACAUAGAAGAUUCAGCGGACAGCGGCAAACAUCCUCCCUUUUGAAGGAUGCAUUUCUGAAGCAGCCUCUGUUUCCACAGGAUGAGCUCAGUUAGAUGCUUUAUUUAGCUCAGUAGAGUACCUACCAGCUAGCUCGGGAAUCAUUGCUUGGUUUAUUUGAUUGAUUGAUAGCUGGGUUGUACAUCCCGUCUAGGAGUUUGCUGUUGGGUUGGUCAUUUCUUAGAGCAAAGUCAUGUAGAUAGACAGUUGUAGCAUGAGGUUACCUGGUUUUGAGCGUUCCAUGUAAUUAGUACGUACUCCCUCCGUCCGUCCCACAAUAAGUGACUCAACUUUGUACUAAUUUUGUACUAGAACUAUUACAAAGUUGAGUCACUUAUUUUUUGGGCGGAGGGAGUACUAUUUUAGUUUUUCGUUUAUUCACCCUUCGCGGUGGUCUGGGUUUUGUGAUGCUGCUUUAUACCAUGCUUGAGUCUGUAAUGUCGGUCAGGGUCAGGGUCAGCCGGUGGCUUGCGUCCCGGGACAUGCAUGCUUCAGUUGAGGGAUGUCCGUCCAAUCGUCACAUGCAGCGAUCGUGCGUGUUGGCAAGCCCAUGGGAGAUGCGAUGCCGGAGAAGAAGUGGUCCAGAACAGGAUACAAGGUAUCACCACCUGACAAGUUCCUUCUCUACUGUGAAGGGUAAGGGUUUCUAACUCCCCCGCCUCUAGGACACUCCAGCUCAAGUGUCCAACCAUAUAAAUGUAUAGGCACGUAGCCUCUGCAACCAAGCAGUGCAUACUCGCCAGCUACAUUCCUCAGCGACCCAACACGUUAUUCAACAGGGAUCAGUGAUGGCCGCCCCCGCUGCCGCCCCCGGCCGCGCGUACGAGGACUUCGUGCCGCCGCACAACAUGGUCACCGAGCCGGCGACCCACACCCUCUCCGUCGAUCUCACCGCCGCAGGGUACAAGAAGGAGCACAUCAGGGUGCAGCUGGUCCGCAGCCACGGGCUAGUGGUCGUGCGCGGCGAGCGCGCCGUCGCGGGCAACCGCUGGAGCCGCUUCCGGCUGGAGUUCCGCGUGCCCGACGGCUGCGACCUCAAGGGCAUCCACGCGAGGUUCGAGGGCGGCGUCGUGCGGGUCACCAUGCCCGGGCUAAGGACGGGGCCUGCGGCCGCGGUCGGCGACGUCUCCGGCAAGCAGGUGCCCCCGGCGGCCAAGGCCGAUGCUUCCGGCGUUCGAGCAGGAGACAAGGAAGAUGAGAACGUGCAGAAACAGCCGGUGGAGGAGCGCGGGGCCGACGCGGUGAAAGAUAGUGGCCGCCUUGAUCAAGGACAAGGUACCCCUGCCGACGGCGUCCAAGGAGUGGAGGCACCGGCGCCGGCGUCAGGCCGCGGAUACAGCUACCUCCCUGAACGGAGAAAGCUUGUGACCAGCGUGGUUGGCGCGGUGCUCGUCCUGUUUAGCCUUGGCAUCUACGUCAGGUACAGCUUCGGCCCAUGAGCUGAGGCAAGAGGUGUUAACUACUCGACGUCAUUCUCUCUCUCAAAAAAAAAAACUACUCGACGUCAGAUGAGCGAUGAGCCUAAACGAUUUGCCGCCAAAACAUGUGCAAGUGCGAUAGUGCUAAAAGCGAUGCUCGGGUUGACUCAAUUGUAUCCUAAACCUGAACUACAGCUGCUUAAGAUUCAUGAAUCAUGACGGCUCCGUUAAUCUGGUACCAACAUGUACAACUUU
rnacentral:rRNA from 1 species